AUUCGAGGCGACGGGCUCCGGGCCCUGAUAGAUGGGGUGCGGGGACGGAGACAAAUGACGGCCUUUGGGCUCGGAAUACCCACCUUUCUGGUAAUGCAGCCCAGCGGGUCCCAGCCUCGUUUUCCAGCCCUCACUCAAAAUGGAGUCGCUCUGGUUCGAACGCCUCUGACAAGUGUGUACCUACGUGUCAGGGAGCCUGCUCACAUGACCGUGUGGAGAAAGUUCUUUCCCUGAGGACCAUCUGGAGUGGACGCGUGCACUACCCCUCUCUGAAUACACCCUCCCCACGAGGCCCUCUGGAGCAUCCUGUAGAGCCAGCCCCUACCCAGAGACCCUGAGCCCAGAGAAUGCGCUGGGUGGUGAGCCUGGGGACGAAUGCAGAGCCCUAGGUCUCCUCUCCAGAAGUUGGAGUGCCAUGGUGUGGUCAUAGCCCACUGAAGCCUCAAACCUCUGGGCUGAAGCCAUCCUUCCGCCUCAGCCUCCCAAGUAGCUGGGACCAUAGGUGCAUGGCACUGUGCCUGGCACUGUCUGAAUGCAUACAGCUGCGUAGCAUCGUGGUAAGAACACCCGCCCUGACAUCACACAGACCUGCAUCCACGUCCCAGCUGAGCCUCAGUUCUCACAUCUGCAAAAUGGGGAGAACAACAGCAGCAGCGUCCUGAGGCUGGGGUGAGGACCGAGUGAAAAACCUUUGUCGCAUCUUUGGGCAUCGCAGGAGUUCAAUAAAUGUUAGCUAUCGUU
rnacentral:lncRNA from 1 species